UACGUAGGGCGCAAGCGUUGUCCGGAAUUAUUGGGCGUAAAGAGCUCGUAGGUGGUCUGUCGCGUCUGCCGUGAAAACCCGAGGCUUAACCUCGGGCUGGCGGUGGAUACGGGCAGACUAGAGGUAGGUAGGGGAGAAUGGAAUUCCCGGUGUAGCGGUGAAAUGCGCAGAUAUCGGGAGGAACACCGGUGGCGAAGGCGGUUCUCUGGGCCUUACCUGACGCUGAGGAGCGAAAGCGUGGGGAGCGAACAGG
rnacentral:rRNA from 1 species